rnacentral:rRNA from 1 species
UACGGAGGGUGCAAGCGUUAAUCGGAAUUACUGGGCGUAAAGCGCGCGUAGGCGGUUUUUUAAGUCGGAUGUGAAAGCCCCGGGCUCAACCUGGGAACUGCAUCCGAUACUGGAAGACUAGAAUGCGGGAGAGGGAGGUAGAAUUCCAUGUGUAGCAGUGAAAUGCGUGGAUAUAUGGAGGAAUACCAGUGGCGAAGGCGGCCUCCUGGCUCGACAUUGACGCUGAGGUGCGAAAGCGUGGGGAGCAAACGGG